GCAGUUACUGCUGACCCAGACACAGCCCACCGGAUGUGGCUCCCUGGGCGUUCUCCGUUCUCGGAGACAGCCCUCUGGCCACCCCUGACCCGCCUUUAUCUUUCAACAAAAGGAGAAAAAAAAUCGUGACUGAAGCGAGUUCCAGGUGAUGGCCUGCCUUGGCCAUUUCUUCGGCAUCUUGCCCACCAGGAGAGCGAAGACGAGGCUCUGACUCUAAACCUGGUUCCAAUUGCUCUAAAAUGCCAGGCUCUCUCUUGUACUCUCUGCCUUGCUCUGAGACAAGCCAGCUACCAUGUUGGAGCUGCCUCACCGAUGGGAACAGAAGGAAGCCUUUGGCCAACAAGCAUCCAGGAACUGAAUCCUGCCCAUGAAAUGAGUAAACCUGGAAGCAGAUCCUUCCUGUGUCAAGUUUGCAGAUGCAAACACAGACCUAGCUGACCCUUGCCUGCAGCUUCGUGAGAGACCUUUAGCCAGAGGCAUCUAGCUGAGCUGUGCCCA
rnacentral:lncRNA from 1 species